rnacentral:rRNA from 1 species
CGUGUAGGUGGCUUGGAAAGUUGGGCGUGAAAGCCCGGGGCUCAACCCCGGAAUUGCACUCAAAACUUCCUGGCUAGAGUCUCGGAGAGGAAGGCGGAAUUCCCGGUGUAGAGGUGAAAUUCGUAGAUAUCGGGAGGAACACCAGUGGCGAAGGCGGCCUUCUGGACGAUGACUGACACUGAGACGCGAAAGCGUGGGGAGCAAACAGGAUUAGAUACCCUGGUAGUCC